rnacentral:misc_RNA from 1 species
AUUUGGAUCGGCAACUACUGACUGGAACCGGCGGAACGCGUAAGUCUUUUCUCUCUUCUUAAUUCCCCUCUCUUUAUGUUAAGUUAACGCCUAUACCACGGUACACAUAACACAACUUUAAAAAUGUAAGAUGUAGAUGUGUAAGCUUUCUGAGCUGAGGUACUAAUGCAGACUGAUAUAUAUAAUAAUAUAUAAGUUCAACUAAGACAAAUACAUAUACAAAUACCUAUAUCAACGUGACCACGAUCAUAUCAUUCCCUCUCUUCCACAUAUGCUCUACGUGUCUAUCUACUUAUUCGAGAAUCCGCGUGGGUUGUUUUACUUGUAUUGUUACUGGUUUUAUGUAUAUGUGUUUGUAUUUGUACUUUUAUUAUAGGUGUAUUGUAUUCUCGGGACGAGUGAUUAUAAAAAGUGGGAAUUAAAACUCAUGCAUUGAUGACAUACGUAUUGGUAUUGGAAUCCACAAUUCAUGGAUGAAAAAUUUUAAAUGACUGGCAUUUGGAAAUAUAUGUAUAUAGAUAAAAAUAAGUGGAAACAGACAUCUGAUUUUAAUUUUCUUAAAUGAUGAAGUAAUUAGUUUAUAGUCCUGAGGAAAAAUUUAAAUAACUUAUGAUAAACAAAUUAAGCCAGCAAACAAAUAAAUAUAAAGUAAUUAUAAUUAUAAAAUGACAACAGUAAAUAUAAUUAAAAGGAAGAAGGGGUACACGGUUCAAUGAGACACAAACGGAGUAAUAAAAUGAGCGAUGACGUAAUUAACUUAAAAUACAAGUAAAGAAACUCACCUAACACGCUUCGCGGUAUACGAGUAAGAAGAAAAAGAUUUUAAGUGGGUCACGGAAAAGCGGACAUGCAGGUAACGUAUCAAAUGUGCAUUCCUACAAUUUAAUUCGCAUGAAAUUAUGGAUAUUUUUUGUAAAAACUAUGAAGCAUAUAUUUAUAUACAAUGUCGUGACAAGAAGACUAAAUGCUGAGGCUCUGUACUCGUUAAAGUGUACACGACUAGAUGGACAGUAUAAACAAGUAGUACGUGUCUUGUUGACGUUGUGCAACCUGCAAUUUAAGACUAGAGACUCUCACUCACGCGUGAUGCUUCAAAAUACUCUAAUUUAUUCCAUGCAUCUAUCAAUUUAAUGGGAGUGGUCAUGAAUUAAAAUAGUGGUUGAGUUUCAGCACUCGAUACAAGUAUUGCAAGAGGAUGAAUGCAAUAAGGAGUGAUCGAGAGUUAUUGGUUUGCCUUGAUGUAGAUCGGAGCCGCCGAAAAGGGAUUUAUCGACGUAAUAUAAGUCCUGGAAUCGAUGACAGAGUAACAUUGUCGUUUUAUGGGAAUUGAGCGCGAGUACGUGCGACGAAAUACAUAAAACCAUCAAUCUUGCACCACUCACAUUAUCAUCUUUCUUUUUUUCGCUUUUUCCAAAUCAAGUUAACUUGAUUCUCGUUUUAUUUAAUGGGAAAAAUGAAAGCGAAUUAUUUACAAUUGGCAAUUCAUCAGUAAACUGACCUCGUAAUUUUUUAAUCUAUAAAUGGAAAAGUAUGACAAUAUUCUGAAAAUCAUACAUUUUAGUGGUUAUUCUGUAUUUAUUUUACGUAAUAUAUAUUAAGAAAUAUUUAUAAAUAUUCAAUAUUGCUACUAUUGUUUGUUUUACAUUUAAAUAUAUACACAUAUUUUUUAUUCAACUCCUUUGCAACAAAGAGGCUUGAUUAUUUACAAUAUUGAUUAUCGUUUUUGAAGAAAGAACCUUUUACAUGUGGUGAGUUGAAUGUAUUACGAGAAAUAGAGUACUCAUAGUUCCCGGCAAUCGGCGACACACUUUUUUAUGCCAAGAUGUGACAGAUUAGAGCUAUUAGCACCUGAAGUUAACACAAAAAGAAUAUAUAAUAGCUAAAACUUUUAAGUCUGAUAAAGUCUUUAGUCUCAUCAGACUUGUUUGAAAGUUAUCAAGCGAGCAAGUGAAGUUUGCACGUGGGAAGAAGAGUGUAGUAAUGAAUGAAUGAAUGAAUUUAUUUGUACUAGCAUUCACAAACGGAAAUAAAAAUUAUCACACCAGCCGUAAAUAUUAGUCUGUAUAAAGAUUUAAAUUCAAAUGUCCACAAGAUGAAGUCAUGGACUAUUUUGUUUGUCUUGACAAAAGGGCGGAGCAAAAAAAAAUCUAAAUGUAAUGGAAUAAGUGAAGUCACUGUAAUAUAUUUAUAAUGCAAUGUAAGUGAAAGCAGAGUAAAGAAGUAGUGUGCACAAUAUACAUACAAGUACGUUUUGCAAGUAAACGUCGUUUGCCUUAUACGACCGUGACACUAAAACUCACGAGUUACAUCGUCCUCGAGACAGACGCAACAAGGGAGUUUAAAAAACUUUACCGAAGGCGAAAAAAAACCCACGAGGACACAGGGACAUAAUAUUAUCAAAUGAUUCAUAUUAGUAAGAAAUAAAUUAUAUUUUAUUCACAAGAUCACAAUCGGGUUAUUCAAUUUUAUUCCAUCAAGGAUUUUGAGACGAUUUCAUUAGAUCAAUAGAUUCUUAAAUUGGUAUAUAGAAUUAUUGAGGCAGACAGCCGCAUCGUUGUGGCAUAGAUUCGGUAACUGAGCGUCUACAAAGCAAUCAAAGCCCAAAUAAAUCUACUUUUCAAAUGCAAGUGUAAUUUUAUUUGCAAAAAAAGCUCACAACACAAUUAUUACUAAAAGUUACCCAACAAACUUUUAUUGCUUUUCUGCAUGUCAGAAGCUCAUUCCUCAUGCUCCCAAUCUAUCUAUCAAGGUGAAAAGACAAAAAGUUCAUUUUUGUUUAAUCUUAAUCGAUAAUAAAUUUUGGUUGGAAUAUUCAUAAAAAGCCGCAACUGCUGCAGUGAUGCCUAAAACGAUCGAUUUAGGAGCCUCCACACGCGUUAGACUUGGCACUCGUCCAUCUGGGAUACCAAAACAUACUAAAUUGAUCAAUUGUCAUCGCCAAUUUGGGUGCCGAUGAAUCACUUCACAUUAACACCACUCUUUAAAAUCCUAGUGUUUGAGUCUCUUUAUGACUUUGGUGGUUACUUAUUGCAUUGUACUGGCGGUAAAUUACCCGGAGGCUAAAGGUAGAAUGAUGCACCAAGCACCAUGCGCGAACGCGUCGCGACGUCUAAAAGCUUCCCGCGUCGUCAGGAAGCUCAGUGGCUUUCCGUCAACGUUGUUAGGGACCUGAAAUUUCAUUUUGGGGCGAUGCAUAAUGUCCAAUGUCGUCCAUCUUGAUUUUUUUUCAACGAAAUCCAGUAUGAAUAAUUUUCAAGAACUAAAAAUUUUGAUUGGCCAAAAAUUACCAAUCACAAAUAACUUUCCCUUACUAUUUUACUAAUUUCCCUUUCCUUUCAAUUUUUAUGGCAGUUUUGACCAAUAAAAUUCUAGUAUCAGGUAUCUAAGCUCCAUGAUUUGCCAAAAGAAUAUUUUAGAGUAACUCAUUAGCAAUUAGGCUUCGCUUCUUUCCGUAUUUUCAGGUAUAAAUAGGGGUGCAAUAGUAAUUUUCAAUCAUAUUCAAAGCAAAUCUUGAGCAAUCAAGACAUUUAAAGCUUAAACAGAAAUUUGUAUCUGAAAUUAAAACUAUUUUGCUAAGAAAAUGUGUGACUCAAUUGAAAAUUCUGUUGGAGAAGUUGAGGUCAUGACAGAUCCCGAAACAUUCUGGAUCUUCACGUCUGAAAUCAAAACUUCGUUGAUGCAACAAUUUGGAUCAAGGUUUCCAAUCCUUGAAGAGAUGCUCAUCAAAUUAGAAGCAGAGCCCGAUGUUGAUAUUCUGCGGAGAAUCGCAGCAAACGCGUUGUCGGGAGAAUUAGUUAACUCGACAAAUUCUGCAAUUGACUUACUUUUCAAGUCUAUUGGACAACCACCAGAGAUCAUCAAAGAAUUGAGACAGAAAUUCAAUCGGCUGAUCGAAGGCAGGCUGUUCAUUGAUGUAAUUAAUGAUAUGGCGCUAAAGAUCGAAAGAGAAGCUGAAAUGUUAAGUUCGAUGCUUGGCAUUAAUUUGGCUGCAGAGUGUAUUUUUAAUUAAAAUUG